AUGGAGGGGAAACUGGGAGCUGUGCUGGGGAUUCUGUGGGUGCACAUUUGCUGGGUGCGAGGAGUUGAGGUGCAGCAGAGUCCUUCAGCUCUGAAACUCUACGAGGGAACCAUUUCUGCUCUGUCAUGCAAUUUUUCUACCAGCAUCAUGAGUUUGCAGUGGUUCCAGCAGAAUCGUAGGGGCAGCUUCAUCAAUCUUUUUUACCAGGCUCCAGGAACAAAGGUGAAGGGGAGGUUAAAGUCUACAUUUGACUCCAAGGAGCGGUACAGCACCCUGCACAUCAGGGAUGCCCAGCUGGAGGACUCAGGCACCUACUUCUGUGCUGCAGAGGCACAGUGCUUCCAUCAAGCCUGCAGCCUGGCCCCAAAUUGCAGCUGUUCAUGCAGCUACAGCCCUGACAUGGGGAGACUCUACAGGAGACUUUUCACAGUGGAGGCUUUAUCAGACCACCAAUUACAAAGAAGGAGUAUUGUAGUUGAUGCUAAAACUACACAGCCAGAUUCAAUGGAAAGUAUUGAAGAAGAAACUGUACACUUGCCUUGUAGCCACUCCGCCAUCAGUGGGAGCGAGUACAUUUACUGGUACCGACAGGUUCCUCUUCGAGGUCCAGAAUAA